UACGUAGGGGGCUAGCGUUGUCCGGAAUCAUUGGGCGUAAAGCGCACGCAGGUGGUUUCUUAAGUCUGAUGUGAAAGCCCACGGCUCAACCGUGGAGGGUCAUUGGAAACUGGGAGACUUGAGUGCAGAAGAGGAAAGUGGAAUUCCAUGUGUAGCGGUGAAAUGCGUAGAGAUAUGGAGGAACACCAGUGGCGAAGGCGACUUUCUGGUCUGUAACUGACACUGAGGCGCGAAGGCCAGGGGAGCAAACGGG
rnacentral:rRNA from 1 species